rnacentral:rRNA from 1 species
CCUACGGGCGGCAGCAGUGAGGUAUAUUGGUCAAUGGACGAGAGUCUGAACCAGCCAAGUAGCGUGAAGGAUGACUGCCCUAUGGGUUGUAAACUUCUUUUAUAUGGGAAUAAAACGUUCCACGUGUGGGAUUUUGUAUGUACCAUAUGAAUAAGGAUCGGCUAACUCCGUGCCAGCAGCCGCGGUAAUACGGAGGAUCCGAGCGUUAUCGGGAUUUAUUGGGUUUAAAGGGAUCGUAGGUGGAUUGUUAAGUCAGAUGUGAAAGUUUGCGGCUCAACCGUAAAAUUGCAGUUGAAACUGGCAGUCUUGAGUACAGUAGAGGUGGGCGGAAUUCGUGGUGUAGCGGUGAAAUGCUUAGAUAUCACGAAGAACUCCGAUUGCGAAGGCAGUUCACUGGACUGCAACUGACACUGAGGCUCGAAAGUGUGGGUAUCAAACAGGAUUAGAUACCCUUGUAGUC